AAAUAAAUAACUAAAAAAGUAUAUCACUUACAUUGAUAAAAUGAUUUAAAAAUCUUUAUUUA
rnacentral:tRNA from 1 species